UGGCAAAAAAAAGAAAAUAUGAAUCACAUGUGUUUCCAUCAACUGGUUUUGAGUGAAUAAAUUCCUGCAACGGGAUCCUCCCGCCAUGAGGCCGUCCCGUUCCCCCCCCCUUGGAAAAAUACAUUGAUGAAAACAUGGCUGAUGAAGCAGAAAUAAAUAUGACAGUGAUAGCAUUUUGAUGAAUAUUUAGUUACAAACCAGUAGUAAUUAAUUUCUUGUUAUAAGUAGGCAUGGGCCGGUAUGAGAUUUUGGUGCUAUAAUAACCUUGCUCAACGAAUACCACGGUUUCACGGUAUUGCUAUUACAACACUAAAAUGUGUUACCUUCAAAUGUAUGCAUAUACAACUUUUCGACUGGACACAAUUAAUUUCAGUUUGAACCCUAACAUGUGUGUCAGGUAAAAAUAAAGCCUUAAAAUUACAAUAUUCUUUAAAAAAAAAUAUAUAUAUAUUAGACAUAAACAUCAAACAUUGAAUUACAUGAUUAAACAAUCUAUUUUUAUGCAAACACAGCUCUUACCUUAGAAACUGUAUCACAUAAUUUUUUUUGUGGUUUUGAAACCUUAACUCUUUUAAACCUUGGUAUACCUUGAAACCGGUAUGCGGCCCAUGCCUACAUAUAAGUGCCACAUUUUAAGAGGUUUUUUUCAAUGACCAUAAAACUGAAAUGAAAUUAAUAUUUAAGUCAAAUUAUUUUAUUCUAUGCAUGUUUUUUUUAAUUUAAAGUUUUUAUUUCAGUUUGACAAACUUGCUAAUUUUUUUUACUAAUAUUAAGGUCUGUAAUCUGGAAACACCUGAUAAUCCACAUGUUUCAUUCUCUUUAUUUUUCAUACGGAUGCAAAGGGUGAGCAUUACAUUUAGCCAUAAUAGGAUAAAGCAGCAUGUGGUGGGUCUAUUGCAAAAUAACACUAUUGCCUGAAGUCAACAAAAUAGAUAAACAGUAUUAGGCAGACUGUUUUGUGACAUUAAUUACAAUUGAUGGGAGAAGACAUGUUUUAGGUCUUUGAAUUGCCCCUGAUUUAAGUUAAGGGUAAAAAAUGAUCUGCCUAUUCCUGAUAGGGGCAGUAUACUGCACAUGUAGUGUGGAAACAAUGUUCUGAAGCUAGCUUUCUUUAAAUUCUGGCCAUGGGACAGAUCUUUGAUAGCUCAGGAGACCUGGAUGUAAUCUCGUUAUUGUUUCAUUUAUGUAUCCAUUUAAUCACAGAUUUUGCUCCAUUUCCUUAAAACAAUCAGUUUGAGACAGAUAUGAGGAACUCUAUUGUAAACUUUUACCGUAGAUAAAAAGAAAGAUCUACUACAUUUCCCUCUCCACAACAGCUUUGAACAGUCUUCUUCUCAUAAAUUAGUUAGGAAAAUUUCAGCCUCCUUCACAAACACCAAUGUUGUCUUGUGGGAGAAACAGAAAAUGUAAUAUUAAUUUUAAUUUUAGUAUAAGCUUGACUAUUUAUCCUGUUGAGACCUCACCUUAAACACCUUUGGAGAAAUUUGGUUCUAAAAAGUGAUAGAAGCAUGAGAAUACAUUUAAUAUUUUGGGGUUGGAUACCUCCUCUUUAUAUACAACUAGUUGCAGCUUCUGUAGCAUUAUCCCCCUGUCAUAAUCAUGAAAAUUUAGAAUGCUCUGAUCAAACGCUAAGUACAGUAUUGCAUUGAUGACUAGAUCUCUUGACAUAUACCGUAGAUCCUUAAUGGCUCUUUUCAAUCAUAACCCCCAGAAGCUACUUCCACCAGCCCCCCAGAAGCUACUUCCACCAGCCCCCCAGAAGCCGCUGCCACCAGCCCCCCAGAAGCCGCUCCCACCAGCCCCCCAGAAGCCGCUCCCACCAGCCCCCCAGAAGCCGCUCCCACCAGCCCUCCAGAAGCCACUGCCACCAGCCCCUCAGAAGCUAUUGGCAUUGAUAUCACAGGCUCAUCAGCCGCCACAAGACCCCAAGCCCAGAAGGCCAAAAAUAGACCAAGAAAUGAAGUACACUGAUCCAGUCCAACAGAUGGAAGCCAGCAAGAAAAAGAAAAAGUGAUGAGUGUCCAGAAUGCUGUAGGAGAGUGAGCCAAAACAACUUUGAUUACUCCAAGGUUUUGAAAAAAAGAGUGAGAGGGGUUUGUCUUUCUAAAGCAUUUUCACACAGUCUUGCUUUAUAUCGAUGUACUUGCAGUCAUAGACUACUUCAUAAAAUCCUUCCAAACAUCUCAUCUGCCCCAACACUGCUUAGUGUCAAAUUGUAAAAUUGAUAACCAGACUAAAAAUACAACAUGAGAUGAACCGCUAUACCCAGUAUUUUCAGAUUGGAUUAACUUCAGGUUUUUUCUUUGGUAUAACAAUUGUGAUUCAUAAACCAACAAUGACAACAGGCAAAGCAAAAAACAAUUAUGUAAAAGAUAAGGGUGAAUAGUCCAGCUAAAGCAUACACUGAUCACCAUAAUGGUGACUUAAUAAAAUAAAUUCACAUUGAGCUAACAUAUUACUAACAUAAUAACAUGGUGACAUCACUAUGAUCAUCCCAUGACCUCAUGUGUUGACUGUGUAGUUAUGUUGCCGUUUAUUUAAUGCUAGUUGUUCUAGGCCUUUGUUGUUGUCUGACCAGUUUGAAACCUACGAUUACACACAGUUCUGUAAAUUAACAUACUUUUUUUUUUCCUUCAUAGCCUUCAUACCUUUUGCAAGUAUUGACAUGAACAUUUAAAACAUUUUUACAUUUAAUUAAUAAUGGUCUUAAAAUUGUCUUAAAUAUCUUUACUUUUACUUGUUGAAACUUGCAGAAGCCCUGAAAAUAUUAGAGCAUAGAUAAAAAAGGAUAACACUCUGGACAUGCUGAAUGUGAAGUUAACAUGAAUUGAAACCGAAUCACUUUGAAUUCUUUGUAUUCAAUAAAAAUGCAUUUGGCGCCAACAAUGUAUUCAUGUAAUUGUUACUGAGCUGGAUCAUGACAUCAUUGUUUUCUUCAAAGCUGCUGUUUUGACAGAUGAACUAAGUAAAAACUAAUCAAUAAAGUCUGAACUUAAUAAUGCUGGACAUUGCCACCCAUUUUUCUAGAGCUGCUACACAAUUUGUAUUGUAAAUAAGCACUAUUUAAAUAUCAUGUUAUGUCAUCAUGUAACCUUUA